GUGGCUCACACCCAGGAGGCUCCCAUGAUGUGCUUUUGAACGAGGGUGCGGGUGUCUACCAUGCACCGGCGUCUUGCAUGCUUCCUCUGUUCUCUUUCCUGUGAAAUGCCGCUGAAACGUCUGUUCAGCGUCUGGCAGCGCGCCCAUAAAUAGUGGGAUGUGACAUGUGUUGUCUGGGUGGUGUUGCUGGCUAUUUUGAAAAGCCAGCGUAAUUGAGAACGUUUAAAUAGAAAGUCAGAAGCCUGCAGGAAACGGCAUUUUGAUGUUCUAAUCACAGCUAUUGAAGGCAUUACUCCGCACAGAACUCCUAACGAAAGGCCUGCAAUUAAAGUCUGUGGAAGCCAGGCGUGUCCGAGUUCUUCUUCAGGGACUGAGUGACAGGCGGAGAGAGCACCCGCCCGAAGAGCAUCCAUGGCGAUGCCACGCUUCCCAGGAGGGACGCCAGAAGAAAUACAACGUUACAGGUAACAGCAAGACAGAUGGGAUCCUCCAGCUGAAUCCCGCUGUCCUGUGUGUGGAUCGCCCACUCUAUGUCGUAGGACAAGAAAAACAAAAUAACCACGGUACAAGGGCUGAUUGGGGGACCACUUCAUGGACCGUGUCUCGUUGGCACGGCACAGCAAAGACAUCCCCCAGAAUGCACCAGGGCAUCGUCUGUGAUGGAGCCGCGAGUCUAUGAACGGCGGUACAGGACCUUGGCCGUCACACACUAUCACACACAUCGUGGGACUUUGUGAACGAACACUUAGUACCUACUGUGAUUGCUGGUUUAACACCUUUUGUCUUGGUGAACGAGUAUGAGGAACCAGACCACCUCACUCUCCUUCCCCCUUCACCGCCUCACAGUUGUGUACAGGAAAUGCAGGUGAAAAAUUGACUUCUUUGUCUUUGGUUGUGAAAUACAGAUCGUAGUGAAGAGGUACACGCAAUGUGGUCACGUUUUUUUUCUAUUUUUUAAUUGAAGUACGAUGAUAGCAGUACGAUAAUCACAUGAGCGAAGCGUGGGAAACGGGGACCUGUUUUACAUCAAGUGAUAGACAAGGUCACACCUGUGUUGUGUUCAGGGACUGCAUUGUUUGGCGUUGGGACGCAAAGUCUUCAGACUCCCGGAGCCCUCGUCUCCCUCAAUGUAUUAACGGGAUUCUCAUCCAGUUUAUUUUUUAUAACAAAUCUAGAAGUGUUUUUAGCUGAACUUGUAUACUGUAAGUCACAUAUACUGUACAUGUAAUGCUGGGUUGCAGUGGCAUGAACUAUAAAUAGAUUUACAGGCACUCCAAUUUGAAGUACAGAAAUGUGAUGCCUCACUCUCACAAUACAAUCGAUCAGCUUUAAAUAUAUAUUUUCUUACAUAAAGUGAUGGGAACAUACUUACAGUGCAGUAUAUUAGGGGGUUCGUACUAAAAAACCUUUCUUUGAAGAGUUAUUUUCCAGUCGGAUCCCAGCCAUCUGCUUGCUGUUGGUGGAGAUGUUGGAGGAUUUCCACUGCCCUGCCCUUUGGGCAAGGCAUGAGGACCUUGAGUAUGCAUGUGCAAUGCAUGACCAUUGUGUAUGGUUGCAUGCGCAUGUGUGUGUAAUGUGUGUGCGUGUGUGUGUGUGUGUGUGUGUGUGUGCGUGUGUGUGUGUACUCUACACAGGGAGCCUAACCUGAAUCUGCAUGUAUUAGAUAAAACCGUCACCACGAGUUGACAUCAGUGUGAGUAUUCUUUUUUGCUAAAACGGAUUAUGAUGCGCACACGCAAAGGCCUCACACGCAGAGAAUGAGACUCCAUCAUCUAGUGACGUACGAGAACAAAUUCAGUCCAAGUCUUCCUGUGAGAACUUUGCCACCUCCCCCGAGUGGUAUG
ensembl:lncRNA